ACUGCUGCCAAGCUGGAUGCCACGUCUUAGGAAGGUGGGAGAAGCCACAAGCCUGUUGUCCUGCCCUUGAACUAUAUAUCCCGGCAGCAGUGUGGAAGUCUUGCUCAACCAGCUCUGCACGCCAAAAUCUCCCCAAGCUUUCUCCUUCACCCUCCAUUGCCACGGCAGAUGCUUUUGGACACCUUCCCAGUUUCAUCAGCUAACCUAGGGUGCUAGGUGUGUAGUCCCAUCCUAUGCUGGCGUAACAAGGCCUUGUGCACCCUCAGGAUCAGCAAGGAUGGUUCUUUUGAAGUCUGUACCCCACAGUCACUGUUGGUGGGAACGUUGCCUCUGUCCUUCAGGGGAACGUCACACGUGGGUGGGGGGUGACCCAACGACGAUUCCUUCUUAUGGGUAUGAUAAACCGUACA